AUGAACGCUGGCGGCGUGCCUAACACAUGCAAGUCGAACGGAAGCUUAACGCUGACGAGACUUCGGUCAAAUCUUGUUAAGCUUUAGUGGCGGACGGGUGAGUAACGCGUGGGCAACCUGCCUCAUACUGGGGGAUAACAGUUGGAAACGACUGUUAAUACCGCAUAAGCGCACAGAGUCGCAUGACUCAGUGUGAAAAACUCCGGUGGUAUGAGAUGGGCCCGCGUCAGAUUAGCCAGUUGGCGGGGUAACGGCCCACCAAAGCGACGAUCUGUAGCCGGACUGAGAGGUCGGACGGCCACAUUGGGACUGAGACACGGCCCAAACUCCUACGGGAGGCAGCAGUGGGGGAUAUUGCACAAUGGAGGAAACUCUGAUGCAGCGACGCCGCGUGAAGUGAAGAAGUAUUUCGGUAUGUAAAGCUCUAUCAGCAGGGAAGAAAGGCUCGCAAGAGAGAUGACGGUACCUGACUAAGAAGCCCCGGCUAACUACGUGCCAGCAGCGGC
rnacentral:rRNA from 1 species